rnacentral:rRNA from 1 species
UACAGAGGUCCCAAGCGUUGUUCGGAUUCAUUGGGCGUAAAGGGUGCGUAGGCGGAUUUGUAAGUCAGGGGUGAAAUCCCGGGGCUCAACCUCGGAACUGCCUUUGAUACUGCAAAUCUCGAGUCCGGAAGAGGUGAGUGGAAUUCCUAGUGUAGAGGUGAAAUUCGUAGAUAUUAGGAAGAACACCAGUGGCGAAGGCGGCUCACUGGUCCGGUACUGACGCUGAGGUGCGAAAGCGUGGGGAGCAAACAGG